GACGAACGCUGGCGGCGUGCUUAACACAUGCAAGUCGAGCGGUAAGGCCCUUUCGGGGGUACGACGAGCGGCGAACGGGUGAGUAACACGCGGGUGACCUGCCCUCCAGCUCUGGGAGUAAGCCUGGGAAACGUGGGUCGUAAUACUGGAUAUGACUCCACGGUGCAUGUCGUGGGGUGGAAAGCCUUGUGCGGCUGAGGAUGGGCCCGCGGCCUAUCAGCUUGUUGGUGGGGUGAGGCCUACCAAGGCGACGACGGGUAGCCGGCCUGAGAGGGCGACCGGCC
rnacentral:rRNA from 1 species